rnacentral:rRNA from 1 species
UCCGUAGGGGGCAAGCGUUGUCCGGAUUUAUUGGGCGUAAAGAGCGUGUAGGCGGCCAUGCAGGUCCGCUGUGAAAACUGGAGGCUUAACCUCCAGACGUCGGUGGAAACCGCAUGGCUAGAGUCCGGAAGAGGAGAGUGGAAUUCCCGGUGUAGCGGUGAAAUGCGCAGAUAUCGGGAAGAACACCCGUGGCGAAGGCGGCUCUCUGGGACGGUACUGACGCUGAGACGCGAAAGCGUGGGGAGCGAACAGG